AACGAACGCUGGCGGCAUGCCUAACACAUGCAAGUCGAACGAAGCCUUCGGGCUUAGUGGCGCACGGGUGCGUAACGCGUGGGAACCUACCAUCAGGUUCGGAAUAACAGUUAGAAAUGACUGCUAAUACCGGAUAAUGUCUUCGGACCAAAGAUUUAUCGCCUUUUGAUGGGCCCGCGUUGGAUUAGCUAGUUGGUGGGGUAAAGGACCUACCAAGGCGACGAUCCAUAGCUGGUCUGAGAGGAUGAUCAGCCACACUGGGACUGAGACACGGCCCAGACUCCUACGGGAGGCAGCAGUGGGGAAUAUUGGACAAUGGGCGAAAGCCUGAUCCAGCAAUGCCGCGUGAGUGAUGAA
rnacentral:rRNA from 1 species